AUACAGUAAAUUUAAUGAUAUUUAAUAUUUCCAGUCUUUUUUGUUUAUGUUGUUCAUUUUAUUGAGUGUUUUAGAUGCUGUGCUAGCUACUAGAUAUUUAUGAGCACUUUAGAAGCUUACAGAUUAGUGGCGAGAGAUAAACAUCAAUUUGGUGUUGGGUGAUAUAGCUGUUGUCCUCAGGAAGGGCACUUAGGUUAUCCUCUGUUGGGAUAGGGUGGGAGAUGGGACUGAGCAAGAGGUCAGUAUGGGCUUCUUGGAGACAAUGUCUAAGCUGGGUCUCAAAGAAUGGAUGGUAGAUAGGUAAAAGAAGGAGGUAAGAUAUUUCAGAGGCAUCUGUUUGGAGUUGGGAAAAAACGUGGUUUGGGCUAAAGAGUAAAAUGUCAGUUUGGUAAUGGCAGAGGAAAGAUAAAGAUUUGGGCAGAGGAAAGAUACAACAUAGAAGAUUUUUAAAUUGUCCAAAAUUCUUAGAGGAUUUUAACCAGGGAAGUGCUAUGGUCAAAAUGGUAUUUUAGCUAAAUGACUAUGACAGUCAUGGAGGGAAGGUUUGAAAUAGCAAUGAUGCAAGGGAAGCAGGCCACUGUUAUUCUUAGGAGAUAUGUGGCCCUGAAUUUGGGGUGGGUGGGAAGGGGGAUGUUCUGGUUGUAACAGGAAUUGGGCAUGACAGUGCUAGUGAAAUAAUGGUUUAGGUGAUAAUAUUUUGAUUGUGUAGGGAAGGAAAAAAAGGGGAAGGUGGGGCUAAUACAGGGGAUUAGAUAAGAGGUCAAAAUUGGUAGACUUUUUUAAAGUCAAAAACACAGAGUAGUGAGAAACGGAAAAAUUAGUAGCUUAUAGUCUUUUUUUUUAAGUUUUCAUUAUUCAUUUAUGUAAUCUCUACACCCAACGUGGGGCUCAAACUCAUAAUCCUGAGAUCAAGAGUUUCAUGCUCCUCCUACUGUGCCAGCUAAGCACCCCCGUAGCUUGUAGUCUUGGGAUGAAUAUUAGCCUUCUCCUGUCUUUAUUUUUCUUCUUGCCUAGCUUUGAGCCUAUUGUUCUUUAUUAAAAUCAUUCCCUUACAAAGAUGUUCAUCCUUAUCUUUCUUAAUCUGUGUGAUACUUACUUUGUAAAAUACUGUCCUUGGAUAAACUUACCCAUCUGUCUUGCCAGUGUCUUGCAUUUAAGCAGUUGAACAUUGCUGGAGAGACAUCACAGUGGAUUUUUAACUGCUUUUACUUUAAGUUUGUAAUCUGUGACCUCAGCGGGACUCUUUAAUACUGCCUUCAGUCCAUCUAUGUUUCUCUAGUAAGCCUACCUUCCAGCUCUUCAGGAUGACCAUUUUUUCUCCUUUCUCAGCUUCUAUCUACCUCACUCACUCUCAGCUAGUAGUCUUGUUUUAUCAUCAUUGAGAAAAUAGAAGCUAGAUGUCCACCAAAUUUGAAAAUACACUGACUUUUGCACCAUAUCCUUUUUUCUUUUCUUAUGUUAUUCCUAAGGAAGGAUCCUUUCCUGUCAAAAUUCAGUCUUUCUGUUUAUGUUCUUGAUUUCAGUCCUUCAAUAUUCCUGCUUCCUCUAGUAUCAGUAAUUUAUCUUCCUUAACUGCAGUAUAUAGACAUACUCUUGUAUCUUCCACCUUAAUUUUAAUAAUUCCCUUGGUCAUACAUUCUCCUUCAGAUACUGUCCAUCUCUCUGUCUCCCUUUAUAGCCAGUUUU